CAUACGGGAGGCUGCAGUAGGGAAUCUUCCACAAUGGGCGAAAGCCUGAUGGAGCAACGCCGCGUGGGUGAAGAAGGUCUUCGGAUCGUAAAACCCUGUUGUUAGAGAAGAAAGUGCGUGAGAGUAACUGUUCACGUUUCGACGGUAUCUAACCAGAAAGCCACGGCUAACUACGUGCCAGCAGCCGCGGUAAUACGUAGGUGGCAAGCGUUAUCCGGAUUUAUGGGGCGUAAAGGGAACGCAGGCGGUCUUUUAAGUCUGAUGUGAAAGCCUUCGGCUUAACCGGAGUAGUGCAUUGGAAACUGGGAGACUUGAGUGCAGAAGAGGAGAGUGGAACUCCAUGUGUAGCGGUGAAAUGCGUAGAUAUAUGGAAGAACACCAGUGGCGAAAGCGGCUCUCUGGUCUGUAACUGACGCUGAGGUUCGAAAGCGUGGGUAGCAAACAGGAUUAGAUACCCGUGUAGUC
rnacentral:rRNA from 1 species